UUCCGGUUGAUCCCGCCGGACCCCACUGCUAUCGGGGUGGGACUAAAACAUGCGAGUCGAGCGUCUUCAAGCUAUGGUGAAGGCGCGGCGAACGGCUCAGUAACACGUGGCUAACCUACCCUUUGGACGGGGACAACCCCGGGAAACUGGGGCUAAUCCCCGAUAGAUGAGAAGUCCUGGAAUGGUUUCUCAUCCAAAAGGUGUUUAGACCAUGCUUCUAGACGCCGCCAAAGGAUGGGGCCGCGGCCGAUCAGGUUGCUGGUGAGGUAACGGCUCACCAAGCCUAUAACCGGUACGGGCCGUGAGAGCGGGAGCCCGGAGAUGGGCACUGAGACAAGGGCCCAGGCCCUACGGGGCGCAGCAGUUGCGAAAACUCCGCAAUACGCGAAAGCGUGACGGGGCUACCCCGAGUGCCGUCCGCUGAGGACGGCUUUUCCACGGUGUAAGGAGCCGUGGGAAUAAGGAGAGGGCAAGCCUGGUGUCAGCCGCCGCGGUAAUACCAGCUCUCCGAGUGGUGGGGACGAUUAUUGGGCUUAAAGCGUUCGUAGCCGGCUCAGCAAGUCUUCCGUUAAAUCCAACGAUCUAAUCGUUGGGCUGCGGGAGAUACUGUUGGGCUAGGGGGCGGGAGAAGCCGACGGUAUCCUCGGGGUAGGGGUGAAAUCCUAUAAUCCCGGGAAGACCACCAGUGGCGAAGGCGGUCGGCUAGAACGCGCCCGACGGUGAGGGACGAAAGCUGGGGGAGCGAACCGGAUUAGAUACCCGGGUAGUCCCAGCCGUAAACGAUGCGGGCUAGGUGUUGGGGCGGUCACGAACCGCCUCAGUGCCGCACGGAAGCAAUUAAGCCCGCCGCCUGGGGAGUACGGUCGCAAGGCUGAAACUUAAAGGAAUUGGCGGGGAAGCACCACAAGGCGUGAAGCUUGCGGUUUAAUUGGAGUCAACGCCGGGAAACUUACCGGGGGCGACAGCAGGAUGAAGGCCAGAUUGAAGGUCUUGCUGGACGAGCUGAGAGGAGGUGCAUGGCCGUCGCCAGUUCGUGCCGUGAGGUGUCCUGUUAAGUCAGGCAACGAUCGAGACCCGCAUCCCUUGUUGCUACUGGUGAAUAGCCAGGCACACUAGGGAGACUGCCGUCGAUAAGGCGGAGGAAGGAGCGGGCCACGGCAGGUCAGUAUGCCCCGAAUCCCCCGGGCCACACGCGAGCUGCAAUGGCAGGGACAAUGGGUUUCAACCCCGUGAGGGGAAGGUAAUCUCUAAACCCUGCCUCAGUUGGGAUCGAGGGCUGUAACUCGCCCUUGUGAACAUGGAAUGCCUAGUAAUCGCGUGUCAUCAUCGCGCGGUGAAUACGUCCCCGCUCCUUGCACACACCGCCCGUCGCUCCAUCCGAGUGAGGUUUGGGUGAGGCGUGGUCCUUUGUGGCUGCGUCGAAUCUAGGUUUCGCAAGGAGGGAGAAGUCGUAACAAGGUAGCC
rnacentral:rRNA from 1 species